rnacentral:rRNA from 1 species
CGUAGUUGAACCUUGGGUCUGGCUGGCCGGUCCGCCUCACCGCGAGUACUGGUCCGGCUGGACCUUUCCUUCUGGGGAAUCUCAUGGCCUUCACUGGCUGUGGGGGGAACCAGGACUUUUACUGUGAAAAAAUUAGAGUGUUCAAAGCAGGCCUUUGCUCGAAUACAUUAGCAUGGAAUAAUAGAAUAGGACGUGCGGUUCUAUUUUGUUGGUUUCUAGGACCGCCGUAAUGAUUAAUAGGGAUAGUCGGGGGCGUCAGUAUUCAGCUGUCAGAGGUGAAAUUCUUGGAUUUGCUGAAGACUAACUACUGCGAAAGCAUUCGCCAAGGAUGUUUUCAUUAAUCAGGGAACGAAAGUUAGGGGAUCGAAGACGAUCAGAUACCGUCGUAGUCUUAACCAUAAACUAUGCCGACUAGGGAUCGGACGGUGUUUCUAUUAUGACCCGUUCGGCACCUUACGAGAAAUCAAAGUUUUUGGGUUCUGGGGGGAGUAUGGUCGCAAGGCUGAAACUUAAAGAAAUUGACGGAAGGGCACCACCAGGCGUGGAACCUGCGGCUUAAUUUGACUCAACA